rnacentral:rRNA from 1 species
UGCCAGCCGCCGCGGUAAUACGAAGGGUGCUAGCGUUGUUCGGAAUUACUGGGCGUAAAGAGCAUGUAGGCGGAUGAAUUAGUCAGAGGUGAAAGCCCCGAGCUCAACUUGGGAACUGCCUUUGAUACUGUUUAUCUAGAGUCCGAGAGAGGUGAGUGGAAUUCCGAGUGUAGAGGUGAAAUUCGUAGAUAUUCGGAGGAACACCAGUGGCGAAGGCGGCUCACUGGCUCGAUACUGACGCUGAGGAGCGAAAGCUAGGGGAGCGAACAGGAUUAGAUA